UCCAGGGUAGCCUAGUGGACAUGGCAUCUGCCCGGUAAGCGGAACAUUGUGGGUUCGAUUCCCAUCCCCCUGAAC
rnacentral:tRNA from 1 species